UACGGAGGGGGCAAGCGUUAUCCGGAAUUAUUGGGCGUAAAGAGCUCGUAGGCGGUUUGUCGCGUCUGCCGUGAAAGUCCGGGGCUCAACUCCGGAUCUGCGGUGGGUACGGGCAGACUAGAGUGAUGUAGGGGAGACUGGAAUUCCUGGUGUAGCGGUGAAAUGCGCAGAUAUCAGGAGGAACACCGAUGGCGAAGGCAGGUCUCUGGGCAUUAACUGACGCUGAGGAGCGAAAGCAUGGGGAGCGAACAGG
rnacentral:rRNA from 1 species